rnacentral:misc_RNA from 1 species
UCUCCGUAGGUGAACCUGCGGAGGGAUCAUUACAGAGUUCUCGCCCACGCGGGUAGAUCUCCCACCCACUGUUAUCGUUACAGUGUUGCUUUGGCGGGCCGCCGGGCCCCGCUCGGCCGCCGGCUCCGGCUGGCGCGCGCCCGCCAGAGGCCCAGCAAACUCUGAAUGUUAGUGUCGUCUGAGUACUAUAUAAUAGUUAAAACUUUCAACAACGGAUCUCUUGGUUCUG